CCCUGAAUGAUAGAAAGAAACAACCAAAGUUCUCGUGUUUAAACAUGUUUUGUUUUGAGCUAUAUCAUGACUGCUUAUGAAGUAUUAUUUUGCGUGUUUUAUUUAAAUCAGUGAUCUGCAGACUAAUUAAAGUUUAAAUUAUUGUACCACACAUUUUUAAAUAAAUAAAACGUUAAAUAAAAGUUUUCAAAAGCCAAAAGAUGGAAUUGAAGAGGAUGAUAUAGUAAUACAUAUUUCAUCUCACUGUCAAUUCGAAGCACGCAAUAGAAGCUUCGCCAACAAAGAUCUUUGGUCAACAUCAAGGGCAUACAUAUUUCAAAUCUCAUACGGCGUGUUAAAGGUACACAACCUUGUCACUUAUGGUAACAGCGAAGAACUCUCGAAGGGAUAGGAAUAUGUGCUGCAAGGAAAUCCAGAACUAUGGAUGCACACGCUGCUACAUCGAACACAAAUCAUUUACACACCAGAUAUUAAGUUUAAUGUUACUUUUUUUACGUGAAAUUAAACCUUUUGGUCAACACAAGCACGUGUUGGAACGACAUGGUUUAGGUGCUUUUGUAACCGUUUAUUAUCGCGACGUGUGUCAAUAGGGUUUUUCCAAUGAGCUAGAGGGCAAAGCAGUUGCAGUAUUUUUGGGCUUUCCGGCACUUGGCUGUGCCAUUAGCAGCUAAAACACAGAAAUUAAAGGGAUGUCUUUUUUGAUACAUAACGUAGUUGUAUCGCUUUACAAGGACAUGGAUUCACCGAAAUUAGUUCAAUGGAAAUACUACAGCAAGAGCAUGGAUGUUAUGACUAGAACGUUUCCCGUGCUAUAUUUGAAUUCCUGAAACAUAAGAAAACCUCCUCCCAGAAAUUGGAUGAAUCUCGUACUAGUGAAAUUAAUGAAAGAACAGAUCUUACAAAAACAUAAUGUGCGUAGCUUACACUUCCAGGCCGCUCGGGGUAUUUGACAUUUGCCACUCUUCCUCCAGCCUUUGUCAGAUAGCAAAAAUUGUUCAACAGUUCAAUACGUUUUACAUAUGUAUAUAGUGUAGUACGAUAAUACAUGUAUAAAGUAAAUAUAAUAAUAAACACCUAAAUGGCAUGAUA